rnacentral:tRNA from 1 species
GGGAAUGUGGCUUGGUGGUAGAGUGCUUGCCUUGCAUGCAUGAAGCCCUGGGUUCAAUCCCUCGGUACCA